AAUAGCUGGUUCUCCUCGAAAUAGCUUUAGGGCUAGCCUCGAUUAAGAGAUUGGCGGAGGUAGAGCACUGAAUGAGCUAGGGGGCCACAAAGCUUACCGAACUCUAUCAAACUCCGAAUACCGCGCAAUCGUUCAUCGGGAGUCAGACGGCGGGAGAUAAGUUUCGUCGUCAAAAGGGAAACAGCCCAGAUCAACAGCUAAGGUCCCCAAGUGUGUGUUAAGUGGGAAAGGAUGUGCAACCGCAGAGACAACCAGGAUGUUGGCUUAGAAGCAGCCACACAUUAAAAGAGUGCGUAAUAGCUCACUGGUCGAGUAGUUGUGCGCCGAAGAUGUAACGGGGCUAAAACACACCACCGAAGCUUUGGGAUCGCCGAAAGGUGAUCGGUAGAGGAGCAUUGUGUGCUGGGCGAAGCGGUACCGAAAGGAGCCGUGGACGGCACAGAAGAGAGAAUGCCGGUAUGAGUAGCGCGAGGCAUGCGAGAAACAUGCCCGUCGAUAGCCUAAGGUUUCCUGGGGAAGGCUCGUCCGCCCAGGGUAAGUCGGGACCUAAGCCGAGGACAGCGGUCGUAGGCGAUGGACAGCAGGUGGAGAUUCCUGCACUACCGAGGAUUGUUUGAGUGAAGCAGUGACACAGAAGGAUAGCCUGAGCAGGGUAAUGGUCAACCCUGUACAAGCGGUGAGGCUGGUGCGUAGUGAAGUACGCGCACUAAGGCUGGGCCGUGAUGUGGAGCGAAAUUAAAGUAGCGAAGCAGGUGAUUUCACACUGGCGAGAAAAGCUGCUGGCGAGAUCUGAGGUACCCGUACCGCAAACCGACACAGGUAGGCAAGGAGAGAAUCCUAAGACGAACGGGAGAACACUUGUUAAGGAACUCGGCAAAAUGACCCCGUAACUUCGGGAGAAGGGGUGCUGCAGAGAUGCAGCCGCAGAGAAGAGUCCCAAGCGACUGUUUAGCAAAAACACAGGUAUCUGCGAAAGCGAGAGCUGACGUAUAGGUGCUGACACCUGCCCGGUGCUGGAAGGUUAAGGGGAACUGUUAGAGCAAUCGAAGCAGAGAACCGAAGCCCCAGUAAACGGCGGCCGUAACUAUAACGGUCCUAAGGUAGCGAAAUUCCUUGUCGGGUAAGUUCCGACCCGCACGAAUGGUGUAACGACUUGGGAGCUGUCUCAACAAGUGGCCCGGUGAAAUUGAAGUAUGUGUGAAGAUGCACAUUACCCGCGACUGGACGGAAAGACCCCGUAGAGCUUUACUGCAGCCUGAUAUUGGAUUUUGGCAACAGAUGUACAGAAUAGGUGGGAGCCGGAGAAGGCAGGACGCCAGUCUUGCCGGAGGCGCCGUUGGGAUACCACUCUUUUGUUGCCGGAGUUCUAACCGUGGUGCGUCAUCCGCAUCAGGGACAGUGUCAGGUGGGCAGUUUGACUGGGGCGGUCGCCUCCUAAAAGGUAACGGAGGCGCUCAAAGGUAUCCUCAGAAUGGAUGGAAACCAUUCGGAGAGCGUAAAGGCAGAAGGAUGCCUGACUGCGAGAUUGACAAAUCGAGCAGAGAGGAAACUCGGACUUAGUGAC
rnacentral:rRNA from 1 species